rnacentral:rRNA from 1 species
AUGGAUGAUGAAUUGAGAUGGGUUUCCAUGGAUUUUGACCCUACCGUCAUGACAUGUAAAAGGUAUGAUGUGAAUGGGUAUCGCUUCCAUACAGAGGAGCACCAGAACAGCCAGCCUGAUCCCAAAACUAUAAAUACCGGAGUGUACACCCCCAGUCAAAAUUCAGUAGACUACUACGGAAGGGUACAAAAUAUAUACGAGAUUAAAUUCCACCAGGGGCGCGAGACCCUAAGUCUGCCUGUGUUCAAAUGUCGAUGGUUCGAUCCGCGGGAGGGGGUAAAACAUACGCCUUCCAUUGGUUUGGUCGAAGUUAAACCAUCAACCGUCUAUGCCGGAGCCGAUCUCUUCAUUGCGGCUGCCCAAGCUACACAAGUAUAUUAUCUGCCUUACCCAUGCCAGAAAGAGUACCUAAAGGGUUGGGAAGUUAUGUUCAAGGUGUCGCCACAUGGUAAGCUACCGAACCCGAAUGAAGACGAUUACUACAACGUUAACCCCAUGACAUACGAGGGAGUGUUCUAUCAAGAGCAACCUGAUGAUGAUGAUGAUGUGGUUAGAAAUGAUGACGCUAGACCAUUGGGUGAUGAUGAUGUGGAUCCAAACGACGAUGAUGCACGGAAUGAUGGUGAGACCAUUGUCAAUGAAAAUGACAUACUUAUGCUAGAAAAGUUAAACGAAGACGCUGACGACGAGGAAGAGCAUCCACCUCCGUCAGACAACGAAGAUGAUAUGAUUGAUAGUGAUGAUGAGACGGACCGAGAAAGAGAUUACAACAGUGAUGAUUCAUAUGGUUUCUAG